AGUAAUGCAUAGGAAUCUGCCCGGUAGUGGGGGAUAACCUGGGGAAACCCAGGCUAAUACCGCAUACGUCCUACGGGAGAAAGCAGGGGAUCUUCGGACCUUGCGCUAUCGGAUGAGCCUAUGUCGGAUUAGCUUGUUGGUGAGGUAAUGGCUCACCAAGGCGACGAUCCGUAGCUGGUCUGAGAGGAUGAUCAGCCACAUCGGGACUGAGACACGGCCCGAACUCCUACGGGAGGCAGCAGUGGGGAAUAUUGGACAAUGGGCGAAAGCCUGAUCCAGCCAUGCCGCGUGUGUGAAGAAGGCUUUCGGGUUGUAAAGCACUUUCAGUGAGGAAGAAGGCCUUGGGGCUAAUACCCCCGAGGAAG
rnacentral:rRNA from 1 species